ACUCGGUGCAGGUUUUGUAAAAUAUGUGUGGCUUUGAAAUUACACAAAAGAAGCGAUAUUCAGAGUUGACAUUGACAAGGCCCUCCGAGCAAUGUGGCAUGUUCCCAGUAUGGCCGCCUUCUGAAGCUUAAGGUACAGUUUUGGUGGUAGUUGCAGCGUUUGAAGGCUGCAGUCUAGUUUCAGAGGUAUUUCACCAGCUGCUCCCGCAAUUAUUGGCACAAUAACCACUUUUCUUUGGUUCCAGAGAGUUUUUAUUAUUAUUUCUGUUAUUAUUAUUGUUACUGUAUUACAAAAAAUACGAAUAAAAUACAAAAAUAGUCAACUUAAAGAAACUGCUCAAGCUGAUUUCUACUAGCUGCCAGACAUUUUUCGAAUCAUUUACGAAUUCUUAUUUUUCAGUGGCGUACUCAGAUUUUUUCAAUUUUAAGAUACAUAUGAAAUACCAUGCUUUUUUUAAAUUGAUUGAGCUUUCUAUUCGCUUUCUAAAAUGUGUAAUAGUUAUAAUAAAAUAUUUUUAAAAAUAAGUAUACAUAUUUACACUCCUUUUUAUUCCCUCAAAUUCUAAAAUACACUUAAAAAUUAAUAUUCCAGAUAAAGUUAUUUCUUUUUACAUUUCUGAUCAUAUCAUACUGCAACACAUAUUUUUAAAACAAUUACAGUCACCACGGAAAAAUAUUUACUAUUUUUGGUAUUCUGUAUAAAUACAUAUAUGUAAAAUGGAAUAGAAAUAUGUUUUCUUAAAUGUCAUGUCACGUUAUUUAAAAUAAUGCAUUCAGACAAUUACACAUUUUCGAAAAGCGUAUAAAAAGCGCAAGCAAAUACUAAAAAAUCUAUACAGGGUGUUCCGUUUUAAAACACAUAUUCUUAGCUCUUAUUCAAAGAAUGAUAUCUUUUUCAAAAAAUCUGAAUACAAUAACAGAACGGAGAAAAAUUAUCGAAAAAAAAUAAGUUUUCUUUUAAAUUUUACAUUAUAAAAUUUUAAAAAGACGCUAUUACACCGCUAUUUAUUCUUAUUUAUUUAUUAUUUUUCACAUUAUAAGCUUAGUUCAAAAAACUUUUAUUCAAUAAAAUUUUGAAAUUUUUCGCUAUUUAGGGAUCAGAAAAAGCAGUUUUGGCUAGUUUCAAGUCAUAUAAAAUCGAAUUUUAACAAAAAAUAACAAUAACAAAUCGCACCGAUUCUAAAGUUUAUAUUUUAUAUAUUAUUGUGUCUUUACAUUCAAAAAAGUAAGUUAUAACCAGAUUUCUAAAAGAUCCACUUUUAAAAGACGAUUUAACUUAUUAACGCGACCUCACGCGCUCUAAUUUUCUAAUGAAUUAUUCAAGCAACAAUCUUACUCAAGCUAAAAUAACGAACUUAUUAUGUACUCGUUGAUCCCUGGGAGACAAAACAAACAGGACCUAAUAGAAAAAAAGUUCAGCCCAGCAUCCACGUGUCUGCCCCGAUCAGUCACAUUGGGUAAAGGCCGAGAUCAAGCAAAAAAGUCAAUAAGUCCACUUAUUAGCAAAUUGAGAUCUAGGCAUGCUCACUAGGCCCAAGUUUGUUAUGUGUUAGUAGUUAAAAGUAUUCAAAUAGCUUUUGUUAUCUUAGAUGACAUUAUCCAUUUUCACCAGCUUACUUUAGUGAUUCAUGCAACGCAAAACUGGCCGAUUAUUAGGUUAAGAAAUAAAUAACAAUCCUAAAGUCUCUUAGAAAGUGUGUGUUU